UGUUUUCUGGAGUAUUCGUUAAGCUCUUAUUUUGAACCUACAUUUUUACUUAGGGAGUCCGAUAAGUUAAAUGUGGAAAUGUACCUUUCUAUGAGUCCUCUUAUGGCAUUUAAGGCGAUUGAAUCAUUUAUGCUGACGCCCACCUAUCGUUAGAUAGGGAUCAAAAUUAGAGUACCGAUAUUUUGGAUAUAUA
rfam:Clostridium carboxidivorans P7 ctg00144, whole genome shotgun sequence.